rnacentral:rRNA from 1 species
ACUCCUACGGGAGGCAGCAGUAGGAAUUUUCCGCAAUGGACGAAAGUCUGACGGAGCAAUGCCGCGUGAGUGAUGAAGGUUUUCGAAUCGUAAAGCUCUGUUGUAAGGGAAAGAAUAGCAGUAGUAAGGAAAUGACUACUGUGUGACGGUACCUUACCAAGAACGCACGGCUAACUACGUGCCAGCAGCCGCGGUAAUACGUAGGUGGCAAGCGUUAUCCGGAAUUAUUGGGCGUAAAGCGCAUGUAGGCGGCUCUUUAAGUCUGAUGUGAAAGCCUGUGGCUCAACCACAGAAUUGCAUUGGAUACUGGAGAGCUAGAAUCUUGGAGAGGUAAGUGGAAUUUCAUGUGUAGCGGUGGAAUGCGUAGAUAUAUGAAGGAACACCAAUGGCGAAGGCAGCUUACUGGACAAGUAUUGACGCUGAGAUGCGAAAGUGUGGUAGCAAACAGGAUUAGAUACCCUGGUAGGCUCUG